UGCCAGCCGCCGCGGUAAUACGUAGGUGGCGAGCGUUAUUCGGAUUUAUUGGGCGUAAAGCGCGCGUAGGCGGUUUGAUAAGUUGGAAGUGAAAUCCCAGGGCUUAACCCUGGAACUGCUUUCAAAACUGUCGAACUAGAGUUUGGUAGAGGAUAGUGGAAUUCCUAGUGUAGAGGUGAAAUUCGUAGAUAUUAGGAGGAACACCGGAGGCGAAGGCGGCUAACUGGCUCGGUACUGACGCUGAGAUGCGAAAGCGUGGGGAGCAAGCAGGAUUAGAUA
rnacentral:rRNA from 1 species